GCGUGUGCCUUUCCCUUAGGAGGUGCGAGGCAGCAAGAUGGUGGUGCAAAUUCCCAAGAAGGGGAAGUUUGUCGCUGAUGGCAUUUUCAAAGCUAAACUGAAUGAGUUUCUCACUCAGGAGCUGGCCAAAGAUGGCUACUCUGGAGUUGAGGUCCAACUGACACCAACCAGGACAGAAAUCAUUAUCUUGGCCACCAGCACACAGAAAGUUCUUGGUGAGAAGGGCCAUGAGUCUGUGAAUUGACUGCUGUGGUUCAGAAGAGGUUUGGCUUCUCUGAGAGCAGUGUAGAGCUUUAUGCCGAACAGGUGGCCACAAGAGCCCUGUGUGCCAUUGCCCAGGCAGAGUCUCUGUGUUACAAACUCCCAGGAGGGCUUGCUGUGCCGAGGGCCUACUAUGGUGUGCUGUGGUUCAUCAUGGAGAAUGGGGCCAAAGGCUGCCAGGUGUGUCUGGGAAACUCUGAGGACAGAGGGCUAAAUCCAAGAAGUUUGUGGAUGGCCUGAUGAUCCACAGUGGGGACCCUGUUGACCACUACAUUGACACCACCAUGUGCCAUAUGCAGCUCAGACAGGGUGUGCUGGGCAUCAAAGUGAAGGUCAUGCUGCCCUGGGAUCCAAGUGGUAGGACUUGCCCUAAGAAGCCCCUGCCUGACCGUGUGAGCAUUGUGGACCCAAAGAUAAGAUACUGCCCACCCUCCCCAUCUUGGAACAGAGGGGUGGGAAGCCAGAGCUGCCUGCCAUGCCCCAGCCAGAACCCACAACAUAACAGGGUCUCCUUGGCAGCUGGAUAUGGAGCCUGGAUGUUACUCUAUAAAGAUUU